GUCACUCCAAACUAUACAAUUCUAUGAUUCUGUAUAAAACCUUAACCUAGGUACAGGGACUAUUGUUUUAGGCAAAUUUACUUUAUGUAACAAUCAUAGAAUCACAGAAUUGUAGAACUGGAAGGGAC